rnacentral:rRNA from 1 species
GUGGGGAAUAUUGCACAAUGGGCGCAAGCCUGAUGCAGCAACGCCGCGUGAGGGAUGACGGCCUUCGGGUUGUAAACCUCUUUUAGUAGGGAAGAAGCGAAAGUGACGGUACCUGCAGAAAAAGCACCGGCUAACUACGUGCCAGCAGCCGCGGUAAUACGUAGGGUGCAAGCGUUGUCCGGAAUUAUUGGGCGUAAAGAGCUCGUAGGCGGCUUGUCGCGUCUGCUGUGAAAACCCGAGGCUCAACCUCGGGCCUGCAGUGGGUACGGGCAGGCUAGAGUGCGGUAGGGGAGAUUGGAAUUCCUGGUGUAGCGGUGGAAUGCGCAGAUAUCAGGAAGAACACCGGUGGCGAAGGCGGGUCUCUGGGCAACUACUGACGCUGAGGAGCGAAAGCGUGGGGAGCAAACAGGAUUAGAUACCCCUGUAGUCC